rnacentral:snRNA from 1 species
AUACUCUGGUUUCUCUUCAGAUCGUAUAAAUCUUUCGCCUUUUACUAAAGAUUUCCGUGGAGAGGAACAUUUAUGAGUUUCUACUCAAUUUUUUGAGGCUUCACUUCGGUGAAGCU